rnacentral:rRNA from 2 species
CGAACUGAUUAGAAGCUUGCUUCUAUGACGUUAGCGGCGGACGGGUGAGUAACACGUGGGCAACCUGCCUGUAAGACUGGGAUAACUUCGGGAAACCGAAGCUAAUACCGGAUAGGAUCUUCUCCUUCAUGGGAGAUGAUUGAAAGAUGGUUUCGGCUAUCACUUACAGAUGGGCCCGCGGUGCAUUAGCUAGUUGGUGAGGUAACGGCUCACCAAGGCAACGAUGCAUAGCCGACCUGAGAGGGUGAUCGGCCACACUGGGACUGAGACACGGCCCAGACUCCUACGGGAGGCAGCAGUAGGGAAUCUUCCGCAAUGGACGAAAGUCUGACGGAGCAACGCCGCGUGAGUGAUGAAGGCUUUCGGGUCGUAAAACUCUGUUGUUAGGGAAGAACAAGUACAAGAGUAACUGCUUGUACCUUGACGGUACCUAACCAGAAAGCCACGGCUAACUACGUGCCAGCAGCCGCGGUAAUACGUAGGUGGCAAGCGUUAUCCGGAAUUAUUGGGCGUAAAGCGCGCGCAGGCGGUUUCUUAAGUCUGAUGUGAAAGCCCACGGCUCAACCGUGGAGGGUCAUUGGAAACUGGGGAACUUGAGUGCAGAAGAGAAAAGCGGAAUUCCACGUGUAGCGGUGAAAUGCGUAGAGAUGUGGAGGAACACCAGUGGCGAAGGCGGCUUUUUGGUCUGUAACUGACGCUGAGGCGCGAAAAGCGUGGGGAGCAAACAGGAUUAGA